AGAUAUCUAAUUUACAGUAAAAGACUAAUAUAAGUUUAAAUGUAAACUAGCUGCUAUGCCCAACAGAACCAAAUACCCAUUUAUUGAAAACCCAAAUUAACAGAGUCAGAUGUGAGAAAGGCUCUCAUUCGUCUUUUUCUUUUUCCCACUAUCUAUCAAUCUUCAUCAUUUGGUUACAAGCAACAUAAUUGGAAAUCAACAAGAACGCACUCAAAUCCCCAAAACAGUUUUGUCCUCAUAAAAUCAAAUCCCCUACGCAGUUCAGAACAAAAGGACUCAUCUUAAUCGAAUGAUAAGAUACAAAUCAGAAGCCAUCAUUGACAAAAAAAAAAAAAUUAAUAACAAU
rnacentral:misc_RNA from 1 species